rnacentral:rRNA from 1 species
AACGAACGCUGGCGGCAUGCCUAACACAUGCAAGUCGAACGAGACCUUCGGGUCUAGUGGCGCACGGGUGCGUAACGCGUGGGAACCUGCCCUUAGGUUCGGAAUAACUCCCCGAAAGGGGUGCUAAUACCGGAUAAUGUCUUCGGACCAAAGAUUUAUCGCCUUUGGAUGGGCCCGCGUUGGAUUAGCUAGUUGGUAGGGUAAAAGCCUACCAAGGCGACGAUCCAUAGCUGGUCUGAGAGGAUGAUCAGCCACACUUGGACUGAGACACGGCCCAGACUCCUACGCGAGGCAGCAGUGGGGAAUAUUGGACAAUGGGCGAAAGCCUGAUCCAGCAAUGCCGCGUGAGUGAUGAAGGCCUUAGGGUUGUAAAGCUCUUUUACCCGGGAUGAUAAUGACAGUACCGGGAGAAUAAGCUCCGGCUAACUCCGUG